rnacentral:rRNA from 1 species
AUUGAACGCUGGCGGCAGGCCUAACACAUGCAAGUCGAACGGUAACAGGAAACAGCUUGCUGUUUCGCUGACGAGUGGCGGACGGGUGAGUAAUGUCUGGGAAACUGCCUGAUGGAGGGGGAUAACUACUGGAAACGGUAGCUAAUACCGUAUAACGUCGCAAGACCAAAGAGGGGGACCUUCGGGCCUCUUGCCAUCAGAUGUGCCCAGAUGGGAUUAGCUAGUAGGUGGGGUAACGGCUCACCUAGGCGACGAUCCCUAGCUGGUCUGAGAGGAUGACCAGCCACACUGGAACUGAGACACGGCCCAGACUCCUACGGGAGGCAGCAGUGGGGAAUAUUGCACAAUGGGCGCAAGCCUGAUGCAGCCAUGCCGCGUGUAUGAAGAAGGCCUUCGGGUUGUAAAGUACUUUCAGCGGGGAGGAAGGGAGUAAAGUUAAUACCUUUGCUCAUUGACGUUACCCGCAGAAGAAACACCGGCUAACUCCGUGCCAGCAGCCGCGGUAAUACGGAGGGUGCAAGCGUUAAUCGGAAUUACUGGGCGUAAAAGCGCACGCAGGCGGUUUGUUAAGUCAGAUGUGAAAUCCCCGGGCUCAACCUGGGAACUGCAUCUGAUACUGGCAAGCUUGAGUCUCGUAGAGGGGGGUAGAAUUCCAGGUGUAGCGGUGAAAUGCGUAGAGAUCUGGAGGAAUACCGGUGGCGAAGGCGGCCCCCUGGACGAAGACUGACGCUCAGGUGCGAAAGCGUGGGGAGCAAACAGGAUUAGAUACCCUGGUAGUCCACGCCGUAAACGAUGUCGACUUGGAGGUUGUGCCCUUGAGGCGUGGCUUCCGGAGCUAACGCGUUAAGUCGACCGCCUGGGGAGUACGGCCGCAAGGUUAAAACUCAAAUGAAUUGACGGGGGCCCGCACAAGCGGUGGAGCGUGUGGUUUAAUUCGAUGCAACGCGAAGAACCUUACCUGGUCUUGACAUCCACGGAAGUUUUCAGAGAUGAGAAUGUGCCUUCGGGAACCGUGAGACAGGUGCUGCAUGGCUGUCGUCAGCUCGUGUCGUGAAAUGUUGGGUUAAGUCCCGCAACGAGCGCAACCCUUAUCCUUUGUUGCCAGCGGUCCGGCCGGGAACUCAAAGGAGACUGCCAGUGAUAAACUGGAGGAAGGUGGGGAUGACGUCAAGUCGUCAUGGCCCUUACGACCAGGGCUACACACGUGCUACAAUGGCGCAUACAAAGAGAAGCGACCUCGCGAGAGCAAGCGGACCUCAUAAAGUGCGUCGUAGUCCGGAUUGGAGUCUGCAACUCGACUCCAUGAAGUCGGAAUCGCUAGUAAUCGUGGAUCAGAAUGCCACGGUGAAUACGUUCCCGGGCCU